rnacentral:rRNA from 1 species
UACGGAGGGUGCGAGCGUUGUCCGGAAUCACUGGGCGUAAAGGGCGCGUAGGCGGCAUGCCAAGCGUGUGGUGAAAGCCCGGGGCUCAACCCCGGGGUCGGCCGUGCGGGACUGGCGUGCUCGAGCACUGUAGGGGCGGGUGGAAGUUCCGGGUGUAGCGGUGGAAGUGCGUAGAGAUCCGGAAGAACACCGGUGGCGAAGGCGGCCCGCUGGGCAGGAAGACACCGCAAGGUGUCGGCUGACGCUGAGGCGCGACAGCGUGGGGAGCAAACAGG